GCGGAGAUCGCAUAGCCUGGUAUCGCGCCGGAUUUGAAAUCCGGUGGUGUAAGCCGCGGGAGUUCGAAUCUCCCUCUCCGCG
rnacentral:tRNA from 2 species